rnacentral:rRNA from 1 species
CUUGCUUCUCUUGAGAGCGGCGGACGGGUGAGUAAUGCCUAGGAAUCUGCCUGGUAGUGGGGGAUAACGUCCGGAAACGGACGCUGAUACCGCAUACGUCCUACGGGAGAAAGCAGGGGACCUUCGGGCCUUGCGCUAUCAGAUGAGCCUAGGUCGGAUUAGCUAGUUGGUGGGGUAAUGGCUCACCAAGGCGACGAUCCGUAACUGGUCUGAGAGGAUGAUCAGUCACACUGGAACUGAGACACGGUCCAGACUCCUACGGGAGGCAGCAGUGGGGAAUAUUGGACAAUGGGCGAAAGCCUGAUCCAGCCAUGCCGCGUGUGUGAAGAAGGUCUUCGGAUUGUAAAGCACUUUAAGUUGGGAGGAAGGGCAGUAAAUUAAUACUUUGCUGUUUUGACGUUACCGACAGAAUAAGCACCGGCUAACUCUGUGCCAGCAGCCGCGGUAAUACAGAGGGUGCAAGCGUUAAUCGGAAUUACUGGGCGUAAAGCGCGCGUAGGUGGUUCGUUAAGUUGGAUGUGAAAUCCCCGGGCUCAACCUGGGAACUGCAUUCAAAACUGACGAGCUAGAGUAUGGUAGAGGGUGGUGGAAUUUCCUGUGUAGCGGUGAAAUGCGUAGAUAUAGGAAGGAACACCAGUGGCGAAAGCGACCACCUGGACUGAUACUGACACUGAGGUGCGAAAGCGUGGGGAGCAAAC